GCCAGGUGCAGUGGCGCGUACCUGCAGUCCCAGCUACUCAGGAGGCUGAGGUGGGAAAAUCCCUUGAGCCCAGGAGUUCUGGGCUGUAUGCGCUAUGCCGAUUGGGUGCCCCCACUAAGUUUUGCAUCAAUAUGGUGAUGUCCCAGGAGCGGGGGACCACCAGGUUGCCUAAGGAGGGGUGAACCGACCCAGGGCAGAAACAGAGCAGGUCAAAACUCCCGUGCUGAUCAGUAGUGGGAUCGCGCCUGUGAAUAGCCACUGCACUCCAGCCUGGGCAACAUGACAAUACCCCAUCCCU
rnacentral:SRP_RNA from 1 species